UACGGGGGGGGCAAGCGUUGUUCGGAAUUACUGGGCGUAAAGCGUAUGUAGGCGGUUUUCUAAGUCUGAUGUGAAAUCCCGGGGCUCAACCCCGGAACUGCAUUGGAUACUGGAAAGCUAGAGGACGAUAGGAGGAUGGUGGAAUUCCAGGUGUAGGGGUGAAAUCCGUAGAUAUCUGGAAGGAACAUCAGUGGCGAAGGCGGCCAUCUGGAUCGUACCUGACGCUGAGAUACGAAAGCGUGGGGAGCAAACAGGG
rnacentral:rRNA from 1 species